GAUGAACGCUAGCGGCAGGCUUAAUACAUGCAAGUCGAACGGUAAGGUUCCUUCGGAGACACACGAGUGGCGCACGGGUGCGUAACGCGUAUGCAACCUACCUAUAACUGGGGAAUAGCCCCGAGAAAUCGGGAUUAAUACUCCAUAACAUCCUUUGGAUGCAUAUCUGAGGGAUUAAAGCUCUGGCGGUUAUAGAUGGGCAUGCGUGGCAUUAGCUAGUUGGUGCGGUAACGGCACACCAAGGCGACGAUGCCUAGGGGUCCUGAGAGGGUUAACCCCCACACUGGUACUGAGACACGGACCAGACUCCUACGGGAGGCAGCAGUAAGGAAUAUUGGGCAAUGGACGCAAGUCUGACCCAGCCAUGCCGCGUGAAGGAUGACUGCCCUAUGGGUUGUAAACUUCUUUUGUACGGGAAAAAACUCUCGGUCGUGCACCGGGACUGAUGGUACCGUGCGAAUAAGCAUCGGCUAACUCCGUGCCAGCAGCCGCGGUAACAC
rnacentral:rRNA from 1 species